ensembl:lncRNA
CUCACUUAUAGAGCACGGGUGAUAAGUUCCAGGAGUGUGGGUGACCCCACAAGCAGCCACACUACUAAAACAUCUUACCCUGGUACAGAUAUGAUGAUGUCCUCUUAGCCACAAAAAGGGGUCCUCAUGUCAGUUAAUCUUUUUACAGUAUGUUCUAGAACCUUCUGAGAUCACAAGGCCAAGAGUGGAGUUAUGUCCAGCUGGCUGGGAGGUGCAGGAGAAAGUGGCUGGGAUCCAGUAAGGGUCCAGUGGCUCUCCCCACCAGCCCUCUGAUAUUGGGAAUGUCUACAGUCACCUGCAAGCACUCACGGAUUCUCUGAUGAAGAUACUGUCUGCUGUGCUUACAGAACAAGUGUCCAACAAGGGGCCAACACUGGUCAGGAAUCCUAAAAUCAGCAUAACCUGAAGGAACAUAAACAGAAAACGUCACAACAGAGGCAGGAGGACAACCUCACAGAAGUGGAUGCACCUGGCUGUGAUUCAUGGUUUUAGAGUGGACUUCAGAACCCCUUGAAAAGAUAAUAUAGCUGAAAGAGUGACUGUUUCAGUCAGCUGAUUAUGGAGAAAAGAUGUCCAGGAUCUGGAGGUGGUUUAUGUGGCCAGAGUAUCCCCAGAGCUGAGAUUCCUCCAGUGACUGACGGCUUCGUGGUCCACUGGGCUCCUGGAGCAUCAGACAACAAUGGACAGCCUUUAAAUUGGUGGCCGUUUGCCGCUGCUCAGGCGCUAACAGGUCCUGAUCACCUACUGGGAGCCUAUGGCUUCAGGCUCCACCCAGAAGCCUCUGCUCAGAGGGUACAGACCCAGCCCACGGCUCCUCUUCUGGGAUUGGCUGAAAGAAGGCACAUGGGAGAAUUGGAAUGGAAUGGGAAGGCAGUCAAAGUUGGAGAUUCUGGUAACAUGUGGAUACAAUGGCAGUGCCUUUUGAAAUGGUGGCAGCAGGGCAGCAGCAAAGGUGAAGGUGGUCACUGUUAUCCUGGCAGUGGGAGUGAUGGUGGUGGCAACAGACACGAGAAGCUGCCUGAGGAGUUCCAAAAAGUGGCUGCAGAACAAAUUAUGGGCAAUGGGGAUGGGGGGUGGGGUGGGGGGCAGGGAGGGGGAGGCUGCAAAGAUGAGACGUGGCAGAAGUGGAGGAGGAAGGUAGGAAGGAAAGGAGGGAGGGAGGGAGAGACAGAGACAGAGAGAGACAGGCAGAGAGAGACAGAGACAGGCAGCAACAGAGAGACAGACAGACAGAGAAGGAGAGAGCAUAAACUGAGUUGGUUUAGCAGAUAUAGGUGCUCACUACCAAGCUCGGCAACCUGAGUUUGAUCCUUGGGACCCAUGUGGCAGACGGGACCAACUGAUUUCUAAGAACUGUCCUCUGACCUCCACAUGUAUGUUGUGAUCCACACACUCUAGCAUGUGCAUCCAAAAAAAAAAAACCCAAAAAUAUUUAAAGUUUUAUUUUACUAUUGUAUGCAUAUGUGUGCUUUCUUGAGUGUAUGUUUGUACAGAGUGUGCAGCAGGAGCCCAUGGGGCUGGAAGAGUGCAUCAGGUCCCCUAAAACUGAAGUUAUAGGCAAUUACGCACUGCCUGAUGUGGGUGCUGGGAACUUAACCCAGGUCCUCUGUAAGAGCAGCAAGUACUUGUAACUGCUGAGUCAUCUCUUCAGCCCCUGAAAUUUAUUUUAAAAGAAAGGCAGACGCUAAAGAUGAGAAACUAUAGCUUUGGUUGCUAGGAAAAGGUUCCAAAGGCCUCAGACCCCUUAAGCCCAAGAGCUGUAACUCCGGCUGCUAUUAAUGGUGGAAGGAUUCCUCCCUUCCUUCAUUCUUGUUUUUUCUCUCUAGGACUGACACCUGUAACAUUAGCCACUGUGGCAGUGUGGGGUCACCUCUAAGCCAUUUAGGAAGAUCAACACUAGGCCUGCUUCUGCCUUCUGCAGCUCACUGCUACCACUCAUUGCUGAUGGAAGCUGGGGAUUACAUAACUGCUAUAUGCUGGAACCACUGAUGGUCACAGUGCAGAGUAACCUGUGCACUGAGAGCCACACAUCUCCGGCUUCUAAAACUUUGAACAGAAAGCCUUCUGCUCUCAGGACUUGAGUUGUCAGCUUGGAGUUUUUGCCAGCCCACGCUAGGCCUUGGGAACUCAGGAGCCAGGGAUUGUCUCCACUAGAAGAGUUUUUCUUUACCUGCCCACCAAUUUCUAUCCUUAAGGACCCCAGGCAAAUGAUUAAGGAUGCAGUAUGAGAACUCACUUUCCUAUGACAGGGCCAGCCUUUUUGUCUCCCAGCAGUUGACUAGCUCAGUGUGCACCCCAGCCCUGGCACAACACACACCCCAGCCUCGAGGAACCUUGUGAAGAAUUAAUUGGCCUAUUUUAUGGAAACUGAGGCACUAGUAGGCAUGAGGGGCCAAGCCUCGUGGCCAAAGGUAGACAGGAAUGAAGUGGCUAUUACACCCUAGGCCUAGCCUCCCCAACAGGCUUUCUGCCAGGAGACAUAGUCUGCAGGGAGAGGAGGUGGAAUGUCAGCAACACCUGUCUACUGGGAUUCUGCUCUGAGCUCAGGAACCCUGUGGCUCUAGGAGCCUCUAGGCUACAGCCUUCUGUUGGGCAGCUCCUCUCUUCCCAUGCCUGUUCUUUCCGGUACUCCUGGACCCCUCUGACUGCAGGCACCCAUAUGCAGCAAUGUCUGCAGCUCUCAACUAUGGGUGGAUAGCAGAGCUAUGUAGAAAUCUACAAUCAAGAGGAGUCACAGCAUCUGUUACAGGUGGUGAAUGAAUGCCCCUAACACUAGGCCACAUCAGCUUCACAGGGAAAGUGUCAGCUCCCGGCAACUAUAGUGAGCUCCCAACCAAUAGGGGGUUGGGCCAUGCCUGCCUCUACACACAGCUGAUGUCAGCAGAGAUGCCCUGGCUUCAAGCCCAGCACAGCGAUUAGGAAAACACAAUUCUUAAUAUCCGAUAUGUUUUAAUGAAAAUAAAAUGCUC